GCUCCCAACAAACCUGCCAUGCCAUUUGACACUGCCUUCAAGUCUGUGUAUGUCUGUACUUCAAGCAACUUCUCUCUGAAUACAAAAAUCCAAUAAGGCAAUUUCUUACUCCACAAACGCGGGUGGCCCUGAUAUAUGCACUGGCAAAACCUGUCUCUCGAGUUUUCCUGUUGGUUCCAGCAGGAUGUGGUCUACAUUGCCAUUGUUGGGGAUCCCAGCUUUCAACCAAAUGCAGUACCCACAGACAUCCCCUGUGUCUUGUGGUUGUCACCCAGCAUUAAAGAAAACCCAGAAAUUAAUGGAAGGGCUGACUGUAAUGCAAAAUAGCUGAUCCUGAGUCGUUAACAAAGGUAAGAAUAGAUUAUGAUUAAUUUAGCUGCU